rnacentral:rRNA from 1 species
UGCCAGCAGCCGCGGUAAUACAGAGGGUGCGAGCGUUAAUCGGAAUCACUGGGCGUAAAGGGCGCGUAGGCGGCGAAGUAAGUCGGAUGUGAAAGCCCUGGGCUUAACCUAGGAAUUGCAUUCGAUACUGCUUGGCUAGAGUAUGGUAGAGGGAAGUGGAAUUCCGGGUGUAGCGGUGAAAUGCGUAGAGAUCCGGAGGAACACCAGUGGCGAAGGCGGCUUCCUGGACCAAUACUGACGCUGAGGCGCGAAAGCGUGGGGAGCAAACAGGAUUAGAUA